GGGAGAGUUUGAUCCUGGCUCAGAAUGAACGUUGGCGGCGUGGAUUAGGCAUGCAAGUCGAACGAGAACCGACCUUUCGGGGUUGGGGAAAGUGGCAAACGGGGUAGUAAUGUGUCGGUACGUGCCCUCAGGUCGGGGAUAGCCAGGGGAAACUCUGAUUAAUACCCGAUAACCUCGAGAGAGCAAAGGUCCGCUGCCGGAGGAGCGGCCGACAUGGUAUCAGGUAGUUGGUGAGGUAACGGCCCACCAAGCCUUAGACGCCUAGGGGGCGUGAGAGCGCGACCCCCACCACUGGGACUGAGAUACUGCCCAGACACCUACGGGUGGCUGCAGUCGAGAAUCUUCCGCAAUGGGCGAAAGCCUGACGGAGCGACGCCGCGUGCGGGAUGAAGGCCCUUGGGUUGUAAACCGCUUUCAGUAGGGACGAAAAUGACGGUACCUGCAGAAGAAGCUCCGGCCAACUACGUGCCAGCAGCCGCGGUAA
rnacentral:rRNA from 1 species